UACGUAGGGGCUAGCGUUAUCCGGAUUUACUGGGCGUAAAGGGUGCGUAGGUGGUUUCUUAAGUCAGAGGUGAAAGGCUACGGCUCAACCGUAGUAAGCCUUUGAAACUGGGAAACUUGAGUGCAGGAGAGGAGAGUGGAAUUCCUAGUGUAGCGGUGAAAUGCGUAGAUAUUAGGAGGAACACCAGUUGCGAAGGCGGCUCUCUGGACUGUAACUGACACUGAGGCACGAAAGCGUGGGGAGCAAACAGGAUUAGAUACCCGCGUAGUCCCUGAGCGGG
rnacentral:rRNA from 1 species